UACGAAGGGGGGCUAGCGUUGUUUCGGAUUUACUGGGCGUAAAGCGCACGUAGGCGGUUUGUUAAGUCAGGGGUGAAAUCCCAGAGCUCAACUCUGGAACUGCCUUUGAUACUGGCAAGCUAGAGUCCGGAAGAGGUAAGUGGAACUCCUAGUGUAGAGGUGAAAUUCGUAGAUAUUCGCAAGAACACCAGUGGCGAAGGCGGCCAACUGGACCAAUACUGACGCUGAGGCGCGAAAGCGUGGGGAGCAAACAG
rnacentral:rRNA from 1 species